AUCUGUAUUCGCAAGUGGUCAGAGCUGUCUGUGCUCUGAUCACGGAUGAUGCAGGGAGAGGAAUUGGUGAAAGAAGUUUCCCGUCAUGGAGGGUUCACUCCUGUCCCUUCCAAGCACUGUCACUGUCACACA